rnacentral:misc_RNA from 1 species
UUUCCGUAGGUGAACCUGCGGAAGGAUCAUUAGAGAAUUAGGUCAGACUUCGGUCGGCCAACCCUCUUUCCAACUCUGUGAACCAUGGCAACGAGAGCUUCGGCUUGACUUGCGUCUCAUUUAAACAUCAGUCAUUGUAUGUAACAAAAACAAAAUAAGAAAAACUUUCAACAACGGAUCUCUUGGCUCUCGCAUCGAUGAAGAACGCAGC